AUGGAGCUUCAAAAAUACUUUUCUUUAGCCAUAUUGAUGCAAUUCCUUGGAUGUUAUGAUGCAGUGCAGCAUUUGGACCAUUGCAGUUACUACUACUGUUUUGGACAACAAAAUACAACAAAAAUUGGACUUUUAUUUGUUGAAACAAGGCUUGAAAAAUAUGGGCAGCAUUGCAACAUGAUAUUGAGCUGGAAUUUUAGGCAUUAG